UGGGAUUAGAGGUGUGCACACCGCUGCCAGACAAAGUUAAUCGUAUUUAGGGAAAUAAAUAGAAAUAUUUAGCUAUGGGAAAAGCAAGGUAACACCGUAGCCCGCAUGACGUAUGCUUUCGUGGCUCUCUCUCACACUAGGUUCUGUGGGCUCUUAUUUCCUUAAGGUAAAUGCGUCUCCUUUCCAUUAUACAGACAGGCAAGCAGCAGCUAAUAGAAGGAAGUGAAUCAUCAGAGGUCAUUCACUGAAAAUGAGAUUUUGAGGAACCUCAUGACACAUUUCCACCUUCCUAUUCUGAAUCCUCACCUCCUUCCUUCCUUCACAGCCACCCUCGGUGCCUGUCUCUCCUCUCCGCCUACAGAAAAUGCUCCAUUCCCCCAAGAAGUGACAGAGACCAACCAGAGGAGCCUCUGAGGAAGGCCUGAGACUAAGUUCUAUCUGCAUGACUCAGUGAGGAAGACACAGCGUCGUCUCCACUCCAUGGCCAAUGAACGGCCAAGGAUGGAACCCAGGGAUUUGUGGAUGGCAGGCAAGUCAGCUGUGCCACUGAGCAAUAGAUAGCUCUGCCCUCAAACCCAUGCUGAUAAUUACUGUGAUUGUAUUGUCUUUUUAGUCCCGCCUCUAAGCAAAAAAAAGCUGUCUUUUGGGGUAGGUGCCUG